rnacentral:piRNA from 1 species
UCCAAGGAAGAGCCAGGAGUGCUG